rnacentral:tRNA from 1 species
CUGGGGUGCCAGAAAUAGAUGGGUAGGAUUUAGGAUUCUGUUAUGAUGGUGUCGUCCCUCAG